UAUUCUUGUGUGCUUUUAAGUGGUAUCAGGAUUGAAAAUAAACUUGUAAAAAACAAAUUGGUCAGAAUUUAUGACAUGAGGGAUAAGAGUUGUCUUAUAGGGGUACUGGGGUAUAAAGCAGUUAAAUUGCUCAUAAAAUAUCUUGGUCUAAGUGCUAGAUUUAAAGAGGUGAGGACUUGGGAUCCGGUAGUGGAGCUAUUUGAGAGAAGACUAGUGAAAUGGAAGACAAACUUCUUAUCAAAGGGUGGGAGGCUU
rnacentral:lncRNA from 1 species